AGAAGACAAGAUGGCGCCGGUUACUUCGUGUCAUCAAAGGGCAUUUUUGUUCACAAAUAUACCCGCUUAUUUUACGUUAUAGCGACUGGUUAGUUUUGGAAAUUAUAACUCAAUGGACAGGGAAAACGAUUCUGUAUUAAAGAGAAAAAGAUGUGCAGUUAUUGUGAUGUUAUUUGUUGUGAAAGACGGCCCGAAAUUUCGCUACUUCGCUGUACUGGUUUAUAAAACAUUUACAAGCAACAGCAAUUGAACUAUAUGACAAAGAAAUCAAUGUAUACAAGCCAGUAAAGUUCUUCAGUUUAAAGGUCAGUUUACUUUUUAAUAAUUAGUUCAUUUAGUUGUAUUUAAUACGAAUUACGAAGUAUUAGAUACUAGUAAAAACUUUUUUAUACGAAGUGGCUGUUCGUACUGGAACAGUACGCCGAGUUUGAUUUGCUAUUCGUACUGCAAUCGUAAUAUUUACGAUAAACCUGACCCCAAACCCUUCCCUAACCAAUAAAGGCCUAAUAAACUAUUUGAAAGUUUUUUAUUUCGAGAAAAAAAAAUUAAAAUAUUUUAAGAAAAAUUUCUAAGUCAAACAGACAACCGACGGCUAAAACUAAACCCGGACCUGACCUCGUUUCACUUCACGCACGCAACGCCUUUGCUGAAUCCACUACCAGCCUUGAAAGCUAUUGCAAAAAACUAUUUUAGGCCACAUAAAAAAAGUAGUUGGUUAGCGUCCUUAGCUUUUGCCAAAAAGUGGGCGGGCGGGUGCUUUUUUUAAAAUUUUUACUUAUUUUUAAUGUCUUGGUUUUAGGUCCGAAACUGGAUUUUCUUGUGCAGUACAGAUAUUUUUUUAUAUAUUGGGUCGUUCCAUAAAAGAUCCAUCCCCCCCCCCCCCACGGAGGAAAUUUUUGCUGUCCGAAGGGGGAGGGAGGAAAAAUGUCUUAGGAUGUCCGAAGGGGGGGAGAGGAAAAAUGUCUUAGGAUGUCCGAAGGGGGGGAGAGGAAUGUGGAUAUGUUUGUCUGAAGGUUUGAGACUGUGAUAAAGCUAUGUGAUCGGCGAUUAUAAUGAGCACGCAAUUUUUAUCGGCUAUAUGUAGCUCUUGAACACCGGAACGUUUAUGUAACAGCAAUAAUUAUACGUCCACGUAACUCGUAAGCAAAAUAAGCGGCCCACUUUUGCAUGCAUGGCCACCAAAAACUAACUCGCUGUAACAGCAUAUCCUGCAUGUUGAGAAUGAGUCGAAAAUUGACACGCUUUAUUUAUAUAGUCUAUAUAGUUUGCAGUUUUCGUUCGUAUAUAUAAGUUUGAAUUAUUCAAGUGUUGAAAAUAAUUAUAGUUAUUAAACUGUUGCUCGAAUUAAGAGACUGCUAUGUGAACUGAACUCAAAACAAUUUGUUUUGGUAUAUAGUCAAUAAGGCUUCCUUGCAAUUUGUGUGUCUAGAAAAUAGAAAUGGCUUUCAUAUUAAGGGCGAGGUUAAGGAAUGCCGUAAUACUAAAAAAUGCAUUAACCUGUAAGUAAACAUAGCAACGCUUGUCAAUCAGUCGCAAAUUACAUCGAAUUUCAGUCAUCGAAUUUUACUUGAACGAAUUUCAAAGUGAAUUUCUGCAAAUUAUCCGACAAAACCUGCCACAUGUUUGUGUUCGCAAGUCACAAGAAGCCGCCAAGUGUUCUGCCACGCCGGAGCUAUUUGAAAACAGCGUAGAAAAGACGCAAUAAGCCAUCGCUAAUUCACUUUGCGCUGGAGCGAAAUCGUUUGAAAAAUUUAACAUCAGUUUUGCUGUAACAAUUUGAGCACGGUUUCUAAACGGAGCGAGGUGAAAACGGCGGAGCGCUUGAUAGCUUCCUGUGAACACCAGACGUGUAACCUCGAAUGCUUUUCAGUUAAAUUUCUUGGGUCUAUUUGAAAUAUUUUGGGUUUACAUGAGUGUUAAUUCAAUUUGUAAACAAACUGUAAUGGCGGUAGUGUGAACACACGUAAAUUCUGCCCGCAUUAGUUCGCUUGUGCGUAGUGUGAACGUAUGUAGUCUAAUUUUCGGUGACGUCUUCAAACGGCGAGGUAGCCUUUAGCAAAAUUUAGAAAUAGUGGAUGUCCGAAGGGGAGGGGGGUAAUUUUGGGCUUUGAAGUCCGGAGAGGGGGGGAGGAUGAACCAUUCAAGGAUGUCCGAAGGGGGGAGGGGGUUAUUUUCGAUUUCCUCCGUAGGGGGGUAUGGAUCUUUUCUGGAAUGACGCAUUUCAAAAUAUGAUUCAUACAUUAAUUAACACAAUUGACUACAGUCAACAGAAAUACUACAUAUAUUAGAGCCUGUUGAUCAAUAAAAGUUGGUUUUUUUAAAUAAAAAAUUUAAAAAAACCCUGAGCGGGGCCUUUUUUGUGGGCGGACGAGGAUGCUAACCAACUAUUUUUUUAUGCAGCCUUAUAUUACUACCCUACAAAAUGUAAGAAUCGGGUGCCAUACUUCAGUACAAUUAUUGGGUCAUACUAAUUACCGAUAACGCUUGCAGGCCUUAAAAUAUCUUUUACAGGGCCGUCUGACAAAAUGUCCGGUGACGUUGAAUUUGGGUCGGACAUAUGUCCGAUGACCUUCAGUUCAGUUUUGACUCGGAAAUAAGUCUGAAUGACACAAAUGAAUAAAUGGUAAAUGUUGUAAAGAUAUUAAAUAAUUUGUUCCUUUCAUACUUAUUUCCAAGCCAAAAUUAACUUGCUUUCCAGAACAGCAGUAUUAAAAAUAGACUUCGACAACUUAAGCCCGUUUUCCACUUCACCAUUUCGCUCGCCGCCCCGCGCUCGACUACGUAAAAACAACAUUUCCAGUUCACCUUUUAUACAAUAGUACUCUGAUUUUCCAUUUAACAUACAAGCCUCUAGUCCUGGGCUAGGGUACAUUUUGAUUUACGUCGGACAAAGCUACAGUUCGGUCGGACACCAAUACACUCGGGUCGGACAAACAAUAAACCUCAGUUUCACCUUGGUCGGACAGAAUGUCCGGUGGUUUCCUUUCUACGUCGGACAACUUCACGAAUGGGUCGGACAAUGUCCGUGACCGACCGAUAUUUUAAGGCCUGCAAGCAGACGAUUACCGACAACAAGCUGACAAUUACCGACAACAAGCUGAAAAAUACCGACAACAAGCAAAUACAUACUUUCAUUGUAUUCUUAUAGUUAUUUGGUUGUUUUUGAGGAAACCCAAAAUAUAUAAGUUCGACAGAUUUUGUCAAACAUUGUUGAGUUAAAACAUUCCGCUAUUAAAGAUGACGGAUUCGUGUAGGCAGACGCCAUAUACCGUCGAUUGCAACUAAGCGUAAACAUGUCAUGAGAAAAUGCAUCCAAUUGGCUGUCAAACAUGAUUUUUUUUAUUUCAAACAUCACAUGAUUUUACUGCAAACAUUUACGUUUUAACUGUCAACUGUCAAUAUUCCAAAUUUAGAAGCACAUUCAUAUUGGGCGGGGAUUAGCUUGCAAACACUAAAUCUGCGAUUAAAUUCGUCUGAAUUAAAUUGGAUGUAUGAAACAUGCCUUAGCAGGUGAAGUUCUAACAUGCUGUGAGUUUUGCAUUUAUAGUGGACAAAGUAUUGUCAGUAUUGUUUGCAAUGUUUGUACUAACUACGUUUUCGCGGGAAAAAGAAUUAUAAACCGUCCAAUGUUUGCAGCAAAAUCAUGUAAAGUUUGAAGUCCAAACAAAAUUUCAAGUAGAAAAUCAGUAUUAACUACCCUAUUAUCUAUAAUAAUAUAACUACCAACUUCUAUAAAGUGUGUAUGUGUAUACUGUAUAAUGUGUCUAAAAUGUUUAAUAGUAACAAGCAAAAACAAGCUAUAAAUUAUUUACAUCAAUUCAUGUAUGUAUUUGGGUUUCCUCAAAAACAGCCAUGCAUUCAUACAAAUAACUAUAAGAAUACAAUGAAAGUAUGUAUUUGCUUGUUGUCGGUAUUUUUCAGCUUGUUGUCGGUAAUUGUCAGCUUGUUGUCGCAGUAAUUGUGUGCUUGUUGUCGGUAAUUGUCAGCUUGUUGUCGCAGUAAUUGUGUGCUUGUUGUCUGUAAUUGUCUGCUUGUUGUCGGUUGUUGAUGGUGGUUGUCGGUAAUUAGUACGACCACGAUUAUUAUUAGUUCAAUCGAAAAAUAAUUUAUUUCGCAUUUGGUACGUUUUACGAUUGAUCACGAAGAUCAGCAGAUAUUUCUAUACGCUUGCUAGAUAUUUACUAUUGAAUUUUCCAAACUUUCCAGUCAGGCAAAGUUCUACCCCACACCAUGGAAUUUCAUUUCAGCACCCUAUAUCAUUCUAGAAUGUCUGUAUUAAUCAUUUCAGCAACUUCGGCUAGCUUGCACUGUUUUUGCUAAAUACCGCUCACAGGCUGUUGUCCAAGGGGGGCACCCUCUGUCAUUUGCCCUCUAUGCAACUUUGCUGACCCCAUCCCUGCAACUUUGUGUUGUAGUACGAUUAUUGUAUGUGACUUUUCCAGCCGAGAGAUAUAUUAGACCCUCUUUCUACUUUUUUUUACAUUGCCUUGGUCACACUUUGAACAGGAUGCGUACCAUCGCAUUGUGUAGAUCAGGGGUCUUCACCCCUUUUUUUCGGCGACCCAAACCCAAGCUUCAUAGGUGUCCCGCGACCCUGAACACUGCCAAUAAAACUUUCGAUAAUUAAAAACAUUAUGGCUUUUCACCGAAAGCUUCCGAGUGUAUGACGGCGACUCUACUUCGGAAGACGACGUGCGCCGAAGGCGCGCCGAGUGGUGCUAAGCCAUAAUGUUUGAGUUACAUGAAGUAAAAGGUAUUAUAUCUAAAGCUUUACCAGUUUACCUGUUUACCAUAUUAUUCUAGCAAUCUAGCGCUUGAGUGCUUCAUAAUAAUCGUGAAAAAACAUUAUAAUCGCAAAUUUCGCAAGGAAAUAUUCAUAUGUAAAUAUGUGCAUCUUAUCACUUGAUCUCUCGUCUUGUAAAGUUUACUAGUGUAAGUUCGCGACCCUAGACAAGCAUUGCGACCCAUGCGACCCAAGACAAGCCUUGCGACCUUCGAGGGUGUGCUAGCGACCCAAUUUUGGGUCGCGACCCAUGGUUUGAAGACCCCUGGUGUAGAUGGGCCUUAAAAGGCAUUUAACCAGACUAGUUUGAUAUACCAACAACUUUUCCGCUUCCGAUACCAAAUUUCCCAAUUUUGAAACACCCCUUGGAGAAUGUAAUUCCCUCGAUGCAAUGCAGGUGGUUUUAGCUCCAUUUUUUAAGCAUUUUAUAAAGCGUAAUUCUAUGUACGUGCUAUGAAGCUAGUUUUGUUGGCAUGAUUUUUUUGAAAAUUUCAGCGGCCAUGCAUAUUGUUCAAGCCAAAACAAGCUAGGUUACAUCAUGGAUUGUAAAAUAACAUUUAUUUUAUUAUCCAUGGUUAUAUGAAGUAAGGUUUGAACGCAGAGGUUUGAACGUAAGAAAUUACUUUCUAUUCAGUUCUGUAUACAGUUCAGUGGCUCGGACAACUUCAGAUUAUCGCCCGAAGACCUGGGAACGAAGUUGCCGAAUGAAAUAAAUUAAUACUUCAUAUUAAUACUGUAUUUUUGUUGAUUUUAAAAUGUUUAGGGAGCAAACAUUGUUAUGUUACAAUCGUGGUUGGGUCAAACAAUAUGUGGAAAGCAAAAGUAGGGAAGGUAAAGAGAUUAAAAUUGGAUUUAGUGCGUAUUUUUGAAAAAAAAUUGCCAUCAAAUAUGGUAUCCCCCUCCCUCCUCCACAACACUUGUGACGUCAGUUACAUACGGGACUUUGGGGGCGUGUUUUGGCGGGAAAAUCUGUAAUGUUUGGAGAAGACAAGAUGGCGCCGGUUACCUCGUGUUAUAUCAAAGGGCAUUUUUGUUCACAAAUACCCGCUUAUUUUACGUUAUAGCGACUGGUUAGUUUUGGAAAUUAUAACUCAAUGGACGGGGAAAACGAUUCUGUAUCAAAGAGAAAAAGAUGUGCAGUUAUUGUGAUGUUAUUUGUUGUGAAAGACGGCCCGAAAUUUCGCUACUUCGCUGUACUGGAUUAUAAAACAUUUACAAGCAACAGCAAUUGAACUAUAUGACAAAGAAACCAAUAUAUACAAGCCAAUCAAGUUCUUCCGUUUAAAGGUCAGUUUACUUUUUAAUAAUUAGUUCAUUUAGUUGUAUAUUAAUACGAAAUACUGGAACAGUAGUUUGAUGCCGAGUUUGAUUUGCUAUUUGUACUGUAGUCGGAAUAUUUAAGAUAAGGUAUGGAUAAACAGACCCCAACCCCUCUCUAACACUAACCAAUAAAUGUGUAAUGAACUAUUUGAGAAUUAAAAAGGUCACCUCGUCCAGGGGGAAAAAUUUUAAAAUAUUUUAAGAAACAUUUCUACGGGGCUGUUUUAUAUGGAAGCAGGGUUGGCCCGGUAAGCAGGAUGAAUUUUGCUUGCGUUUAAUAGGUAUCCGGUCGUUUCGCCCCCAAUUCGUUUCGCCCCCAAUUCGUUUCGCCCCCAGUCGUUUUGCCCCCAAGUCAUUUCGCCCCCAAGUCAUUUUGCCCCCAAGUUAGCUAGUGAAUUUAAUAUCUCUUACAAAUAAACAAACUCACCCAUAUUUGCGAGUAUUGUGGAGAUAUGGAUCAAACGGCAAACGCACAAAAACCUGUUCACUACGUAACAUUUCAAACUGAAACAAAAGCGCAAAAAGGUUUGACAAAGUCUGUAAUCAAAGCAGUCAUUAGUUUUUACAAUGGACGAAAAAAUCGCACAGCUUGCAAAUAGUUACUCGGUGACAAUGACAACAUUUAUAUGUCUGUGUAUUCUUGACUAUAUUUUUAAUAUAUCCAUCAUUUGAAGUUGUUUGGCAACAAAACGUUGAGACGAAUCGACUUAGCCACUUGGGGGCGAAUCGACUUGGGGGCGAAACGACUUGGGGCAAAUCGACUUGGGGGCGAAACGACUUGUAUUCGUUUAAUAUAUGAGGAAAUUUUAUCCUGCUUGCUGUGCUAGAAAUUGUUUACAAUGCACUCAAUUGGCUUUCCCGGGACAACUUUCAAAAUUAAUUUUUGCUUCAAAACUCACUAUUUUGUAAACAUUGAAGGGUCUCUGUAAAGAACAAAAUUAACCGAAACCGGAAACAAUCGAAACCGGAAAUUUCCACCUAAUUUCCCGCAUAAACCUGUGCAUAAACAAAUUAAUUAUAUUGUUGAUGCUAGAUCACUGGCAUGCCAUUUAGAUAAAUAUCCUCCGAAAUUAUGUCACAAGGUUGUAUACUAUUUAACUGCUGACAAUUUUGUAAAUUAUUCAAUAAUCUUAUUGCAUCUUCCUGAACAAUGCUGGUUUUGUAAAAACGAUAUUGCAUUCACUUUCUCGUUUGACAUCCGAUAUGGCUUCCACUAAAAUGACACGCUCAUGAUUUCAAAAAAAAAAAAUACAUGCUCAUUUACAUGUUUCCAAAUCCCAAUUUAUCUGACUGCAUUUUAAUGGUUCAAAUAUUCAGAACUUUGUUCUUUCAAUCACAAGUAGUACAAGUAUUAUUGCAUUCAAUGGUAGUAUUUUAUUCAGUGUUUCAACGAUCAAACUGCACGGUAAAACUUCCGUCUCUAAGCUCAACUGUGCAAGUCGCAGUAUUUGCAACCUUUUGUUUUGUCUCUUUUACCUAUGUAAUGUCAAGAACUAUAAAAAUAAUUGCAGAAAAGACUUCACACUAUCGAAAAUAUUUCAUCCUGGCAACCGGGCCAAAUUUUCACCUCGGUUGUCCGUAUAAACGCACAGGAUUUUUUAAAUUCUACUACACAGCAAGAUCUCGCCAAGUGGGCCAGCCCAGUCCAAUAUAAACAGCCCCUAUGCCAGAUGCAUUCCAUGUAAAGUCUAUGCCGAAGAUACGCCAAUAUUAACUAUAGGUAGUAUUUCACGCCGAAGAUCUUUGGCUUAGGCCACUUAAAAUGCACCCUGGCCCCUAUGUCAAACAGAAAACCGAUGGCUAAAACAAAACCUGACCCCCAACCUCGUUUCAUUUUGCAUCCACGCUAUGCCUUUGCCAAAUAUGCUACCAGGCUGAAAGCUGUUGCAAAAAACUGUUUUAUAUUACUACUUUACAAAAUGUAAUAAAUUAUUGGAUGCCAUACUUCAGUACGAUUAUUAGUUCGAUAUUAAUAAUUAUUUAUAAGCACUAUUAUACAAGAAAUGUCAACAAUGAAUUUUCCUUCAAUGGUUGCUUUUUAUUGGUCAAAAGUUUAAUAUUGUUUUGACAAGAGAAAUGUUUCUCAACAAUUUUCAGAAAUAAGUUCUUUGAAUAAUUAUUUUUGUUUGUGGAAACACCACGUUAUUACUGCAAAGCUUUCGAUCCGUAAGCCUGGAUCUUCAUCAGUGCACAUAUUAUUAGCACUGAUGAAGAUCUGGGCUUACGGAUCGAAAGCUUUACAGUAAUAACGUGGUGUUUCCACAAACAAAAACAAUUAAUUUUCAGAAAGUUUUAGAAGACUUCUAGAAGGGGUUUGUUUUUAAUUGGGCUAUUCGAUUUAAAAGACGUAACCCCCCUAUCGAGGACAAUGGUUUUACCAUAUCUCUGAAGAAUUCCUGAGAUAGAAGAGAUCCCCUGAAGAAUUCCUGAGAUAGAAGAGAUCCCCUGAAGAAUUCCUGUUAAUUAAAUAGCAUUUACCCCUGAAGAAUUACAAUUUUUACAUCUGACCCCUAAGGAAAUUGCAUUCGAAAUAACGAACCCCUGAAGAAUUCCAUAGGAGAAUUUGUUUACCCAUGAGAAAUUUGGGAGUUAAAAAGGGCGGUUCUGGAUAUUAAAUGGAUAGCCCAAUUUUCUGGAAAAUUUCCUGGUUUUCCCUGCAGCUUGUUUAUAAACAUGAUGAUAAUUUUCCAGAAUUCUUGUCUGGUUCAAUAGAAAUUUUAUUUUCCAAAGUUUUAAAAUAAACAGAAGUGCAGAUGUACCCAAAACAGCUGGUUAAAUUUUAACCCACAAGUAGCACUAAUCCAGCUAAAGCUUUGAACCACUGGCCUCAGGGGCCGGUUUUUCAAAGCUGGGUUAGCUUAACCCUAUUUUAACAACUAAAAUUCAAAGCAAACUUCCUUUAUCAGUCGAAAGUGAUUAUUUAGAACUGAAUUUAUAAAAGUGGUGGGAAUCGAACCCGCAACCUUUGGGAUACUAGUCCAAUGGUCUGCCAAGUGAGCUAUGUGGUCAAGUCUGUUUGAGUUGAUGAUAUUUCAGAACCGAGUCUAGUUCCUUCGAUCAUAUCAUAGAAUACACUGAUAUCGAAAGAACUAGUCUUCCGAAAUAUCAUCAACCGACUUGACCAUGUAGCUCAGUUGCCAGAGCAUUGGACUAGUAUCCCAAAGCUUGUGGGUUCGAUUCCCACCAUGGCCAAGCAAACUUUUCAGCUGGUGUGGAUAUACAUUCAGAGUAACAUUGCAAACAUAAUUUUCUGAAAGUUUUGACGAUUAUUUUGGGGCAGUACACAGUGGUCCCCAGCCUAGGGUUGUCUUUACCAAUGCCAAUAUAAAUCUUAUUGGCAUAGAGAAUUAUACAUUUGGCAUAACAAUUUUGUAUGGUGCAUUCAUUCUAUUGACCAAUCAGGGAGAUUCUUUUGUAAAUACCCACACCAAUCAGAAGUCUGUAUUUUUAUGCUAAAACAGAAAUUAGCAUCCCAGAUAGUAAAUUAUAUUCAAGGCGUGUUGCAGCUCUAUAUCCUGCCGUUGCAAGUUGCUUUGCGUUUGAUGUUUGUUCUGGGAUAAAAUAUUGAAUUAUACCUUAAGGUGGCUCGAUAUAGUUAUCACAAAAACCCUGCUCACUAAGAGUCGCGAACUCAAAACCGGGUGAUCAUUUUUACGCGCAGGUCGUGGAAACUGAUUAACAAAAUGAAAGAACUUCUAAAAUGACCUGACGUCAGCAGUUGGUCGCGCCAUAUCACGUCAUUGCGUGUGUUCUAUAGUGUUUUAUGUCAAUUGCUGACGUCAUUAGAAUUUUCCAUUAUAGAAAAACAAUGCGCUAUAUCUCUUUAUUUUGUCUGGUGACCUAUGUUCAAAUUUUGCAUGCUGUGUAUUGCACCGCUAAAAACUUUCAUUAUACAAAAAAUAAAAAAAUUCUGUAAUGCCAAAAAAAAUUUACCGAAGAAUAUGACAUUUUCGCAUUUUCCAAAAAAAUGGCAUUACAGAAUUUUUUUAUAUUUUGCUAAAUGUUAGCUUUUCAUCGAAGUAACAUAAUGCACGCAAAAAAAUUGGGGGUCACCAUGCUUUUUUUCCAACUAUACGAGACGAUAGGCCAUUUUGGAGUGAAUUUCGUACACGUAUGUCGUCAUAGCAACGAACUAUAUGUUACUAAGACUUAUAUAAUUUGAAAGUUGAGAUAUCAAAAUAUAUAAAAACCUCAAUAUCUGCUGAAUAAAUCCUAAAAAUGCGUAGUUUGAACAUGUCAAAGUGUUGAACACCUGAAUUUUUGAAAACUGUAUCGAGCCACCUUAAUUAAUUUAAAUUAAUAAUGUUUCGUGAAGUUUAGUUCAAAUUAAUAGAGAGAUGAGUGCAUAAAGUAUUUAGGGUAUUUUGAAGCUAAAUUUGUUUUAAAAUUCGUCAUUUUAGUGAAAUGGUGUGGAGCACAAUGCGUUCUUUUCUACUUGUCCUGGUUGUUGUAAAGAGACAUCGGGCAUUGUAAUGAAUAGAUGAAAAUGUGUAGCUGGCAAACCUACACCAUGUGCAUUUCUUGGUGGAUAUCUUGGGCAAAUGUGCAAUAUGAUAGAUAUCUUGGGCAAAUAUCUUGUAUAAAUUUGUACAUUACCUUAAAUUACUAAAGAAGGAUGAUGUUUUAAGGUUAGUGGAUAUUUAUAAUAGUGAUAAAAUGGGGGUUCCCUGUGAAUAGGAACGAAGUAAGGCUGUCCAAUUAAGUGGAAACAAUAUUGCGGC